AAAAGUCGUAACAAGGUCUCCGUUGGUGAACCAGCGGAGGGAUCAUUACUGAGUUACCGCUCUAUAACCCUUUGUGAACAUACCUACAACUGUUGCUUCGGCGGGUAGGCCGUCCCCUGAAAAGGACGCCUCCCGGCCCGGACCGGACCCCCCGCGGGACCGGACCCGGCGCCCGCCGGAGGAUAACCAAACUCUAUUGUAACGACGUUUCUUCUGAGUGGCAUAAGCAAAAUAAUCAAAACUUUUAACAACGGAUCUCUUGGUUCUGGCAUCGAUGAAGAACGCAGCGAAAUGCGAUAAGUAAUGUGAAUUGCAGAAUUCAGUGAAUCAUCGAAUCUUUGAACGCACAUUGCGCCCGCCAGCAUUCUGGCGGGCAUGCCUGUUCGAGCGUCAUUUCAACCCUCAAGCUCUGCUUGGUGUUGGGGCUCUACGGUCGACGUAGGCCCUCAAAGGUAGUGGCGGACCCUCCCGGAGCCUCCUUUGCGUAGUAACAUUUCGUCUCGCACUGGGAUCCGGAGGGACUCUUGCCGUAAAACCCCCCAAUUUUCCAAAGGUUGACCUCGGAUCAGGUAGGAAUACCCGCUGAACUU
rnacentral:rRNA from 1 species